CUGCCUGCCAUGACAGCUGUGUAGGUGCCAGCCAGACACACUAACAGAGAGCCAGCUGACUUCCAGUGUAAAUCAGGCUGGCAGGCACGUUUCCCCCUGAAAACCAGCCUGUGCUUCACCAGAAAUUCAUUGACACCGACACAUUCCUGCAGAACAUGUUGGGCCACCAGGCAGGAUCUCCUCCCUACGUGCCAUCUGUAAAUGGGACUAGCUUUUACAGUAGUGGGAUGGCAGCAAGAGGUGCACCUUGUGGGCUGUUCAAACCUCAAAACUGGAGCAGAAAAUACAAGAGAAGAAAAGGUGAAGGCUUGCUACGGUGGAAAGGAGAACUCAGUACCUGCAGGCUCCCGUGGCCCUUGCAAGUGGAUGCAAGUAUAUAUGAGCUGAGGAUCUGGAUCUCAUACUUCAAAUAGGACGCAGACACUGGAUAAGCACAACUGAAGAUGACCAUCAUGCAAUAAAUGUUUCAGUGUCCCCUCA